UAGAGUUUGAUCCUGGCUCAGGAUGAACGCUAGCGGCAGGCUUAACACAUGCAAGUCGAGGGGUAUAUUGCUUUCGGGCAAUAGAGACCGGCAAACGGGUGCGGAACACGUACGCAAUCUGCCUUUACCCGGGGGAUAGCCCAUAGAAAUGUGGAUUAAUACCCCAUAGUAUUAUUUGGUGGCAUCAUUAGAUAAUUAAAGAACUUCGGGUGAAGAUGAGCGUGCGUCUGAUUAGCUAGUUGGCGGGGUAACGGCCCACCAAGGCGACGAUCAGUAGCUGAUGUGAGAGCAUGAUCAGCCACACGGGCACUGAGACACGGGCCCGACUCCUACGGGAGGCAGCAGUGAGGAAUAUUGGUCAAUGGGCGGAAGCCUGAACCAGCCAUGCCGCGUGAAGGAUGAAGGCGUUCUGCGUUGUAAACUUCUUUUAUCAGGGAAGAAAUCACUUUAAUCUUAGAGUGUUGACGGUACCUGAGGAAUAAGCACCGGCUAACUCCGUGCCAGCAGCCGCGGUAAUACGGAGGGUGCAAGCGUUAUCCGGAUUUACUGGGUUUAAAGGGUGUGUAGGCGGUCUGUUAAGUCUGGGGUGAAAUCUCCGAGCUCAACUCGGAACUGCCUUGGAUACUAUCAGACUUGAAUUAUGUUGAGGUAGGCGGAAUAUAACAUGUAGCGGUGAAAUGCAUAGAUAUGUUAUAGAACACCGAUUGCGAAGCAGCUUACUAAGCAUAUAUUGACGCUGAGGCACGAAAGCGUGGGUAGCGAACAGGAUUAGAUACCCUGGUAGUCCACGCCCUAAACGAUGGAUACUCGUCAUACGCGAUACACAGUGUGUGACUUAGCGAAAGCGU
rnacentral:rRNA from 1 species